UGCGAGCUUGACGUGAGACCAGACGCAAUGAGGCAGCGUGGAGACAGGCCACCGCCAGUCGUCCACCACCGGAGCUUUUGCCCUGUUCGCCGUCUCCUCCAUGACCUCGUCCGCGUGCACGGCUGCUUUCUGGAGGGCCGCCACUGGGAUCCACAGGGUGCGCCUCCACCCCCCUGCAGCUCCAUCACGUGUGAUGGGCGCCGAUCUGCAGGCUUGAGCUUGAGCUCCUUGGCGUCCUUCCUCCAGUUGGUGGCCCAGCUCGCCGGCGUUCUGAGUACGGCCUCGGCUACAAACUCUGACGGUGAGUUUCAAACCCAAUUCCGCUGCCGCACUGAUCGAUCUGGCCUUGUUGGGGAUGCUCCCUGGAUAACUGUACCAUACCCAUUCCAGUGGGGAGCACUGACUUUUCAUGCUGCUGAAUGCUUUGCCAUGAUGGCAGCUGCUUUUGUUGCUCUUGUGGAGACCUUGAAGCUCCCAAAAUGCAAACACCAGGAGAUAGGGAUGUCAAACUGAAACAAAGAAGCCCAUGACCGGUCUCAUAAUUUUACCAAUAGUACCGCCAUCAGCCGCAAAGACGGCAAGCUCAAGCAGCGCUACGGCUAUGAAGAUGACGUGUUGAAGAAGCACCAUCAGCUGUCACCAUCCUCCUCGGCAUGCAGAAGACACUCCCAAGUCGUCUCUGUACUGCAUCCAGAUUGCAAAGGAUGGCGAGGUUGAGCGUUUGAAAGUAGAAAGUCCAGAUCCACAGCGGCAUCAGCGCUUCGUCGUCGACCUCAUCUGCGACCGUCCUCGAGGUCGCCCAUGGCGGUCCGGUCCGGCCAGGCAGCAGCCAUGGACAGAGACGCCCGAAACCCUAGCCCUCCAAGGAUGUGUGCCGGCUGCAGGCCAUCUUCGGCGAGCUCAUCCACAGAUCUCCGUCUAUGGUGCGUGUGCAUGAUCCCUAGACCCCUUGUCUUGUUGCUGAGAUGGGGAGAAGAGGCAAGGGCGUAUGGUGGUGGGUAGGGGGGCUCAGGCGUCACAGAGAUAAAGAAGGCCAUAAUGUUUUUCUGCUGACUUCUCUCUUGCUAAAAAUUAUUUGAUACUUAUAGAUAGUGAUAACAAAGGUGAAAACUGGACCGGGUGUAUGAUCUCCAAAUUAAUGUUGGGAUAUCUUUAUUUGGGGUUUCACUGAGAAGUUGUUCUUUAAAGAUUGAAAUAUUGAAUGGCAUGGCGAUUCCUCUUUGGUGUAGAUAUAUAUUAUUAGCAUAUACUUGAUAAUUGUCAAGAUUAUCUAGGCGGGUAUAUAAAUUGUUGUUUGCUGAGAAUUUUCUUUUAAGUGAUUGAUUGACGCACACCUCCGGAAAUAACCUUAUUCAUCUCCUUAA